rnacentral:rRNA from 1 species
CAGUAGCCGCGGGAAUACGAAGGGGGCUAGCGUUGCUCGGAAUUACUGGGCGUAAAGGGCGCGUAGGCGGACAGUUCAGUCGGGGGUGAAAGCCCGGGGCUCAACCUCGGAAUUGCCUUCGAUACUGGCUGUCUUGAGUAUGAGAGAGGUGUGUGGAACUCCGAGUGUAGAGGUGAAAUUCGUAGAUAUUCGGAAGAACACCAGUGGCGAAGGCGACACACUGGCUCAUUACUGACGCUGAGGCGCGAAAGCGUGGGGAGCAAACAGGAUUAGAUACCCCCGUAGUCCCUGUCUCUUAUAC